UUUUUUUUUUUUUUUUUUUUUUCAUUUGCCUUGGAGCCAAAGUUUCUGUUCCUGGUGGUCGGAAAACUGUGCCUGCCGGCCAACUGACUUGAAGGAAAACUGUGGUAUGGAGCUCUGCUUGAAUUUUUUUUUUUUUUUUUUUUUAAAGUUUUUUUGAGUAACAUCAGCUUACUUGUCUGGCAAGUGCAGAUGCCUGGGGCUGGCCUGAACUCUGCCAAACAAAUACAGAAGUGUAUUUAAUAGUUAAACGUGUGCCCUUUCCCUUCUUGCUGCACCCACGUUGUCACUUAACCCCCAGGAGUUAUUUAUUAUCUUCUUUGUUAAUGUCAGGCUCAUUUGGGGUAAUGUGAUGACUGUUUAGGUUUACAUGACCCUUCUCUCCUUCCCCUACCCCCAAAUAUGUAUAUAUACAUAUAUAAGAUAUGUAUAUAUUUUACCUAUAUAAAAUAUAUAUAUACACAUAUAUGUAUCUAUAUUCCUUUGUUUCUUUGCCUGCUAAAACUGGCCAUAAAAGAGGGAGCUGCCUUCAAUAUAUAAUGCAUAAGAAGAGUGCCAGGGAACAUCAUAAAUGGAGGUUUUUGAAUCUGAAUUUGGACCAUCCUCACUAAAGAGAGGAUGAAUUUUCUCAGCCUUUUCCUCACAAGAGGGAGGCCCAGUUGCCCAGACUCCUCCACGUGCUUGCUCCAUAAGGCCAGCUUUGGCCAAACUGCCACACAGGAGCUGACUCUGGUCCUACCUGGUUUCAGUAGAGGGUCCUCUUGUUAUUUUUCCAUUAAAAAAACAUGUCCUCAAAAAACUGUACUGGAAAGGUGGGUGGCAGGAACUUGUACAGUUCAGCUCCCAACACUUGGGAACAGAUUGAAAAGGGAAUCUUUUAAAUAAAAACUUACAAAAUAUUUAUACUUUUGAGGUAAUGAGAGUUUGUCUAUUAAACAUUUGGAGUUUCUUCCCUAACUGCUUCCAUCUGCCUCCUAGGUAUAUGUUUCUCAGCCUGGGCAGGAAUUGCUUAUUUUGAAUUCCUUUAUUAGGAAGCUUAUGGCUCUAGGCUCCCAUCUUUCCAAAGACGAUUACUUAGGGAGUUUAUGCAGUCGAUGUUUUUCCAAGAUUGACAUUGACAUAGGAAAUGGUUGGUUUGAUUUCUUUUUCUUUUUUUUUUUUUUUUUGAAGAUCCUAAACCUGGCAGUUGCCCCCUCUAGAGGGGCAGAAGGGAAACUUUUAAAAUCAGCCACAGCAAGUUAGCAGUACUGCUGGAAAGCUGAAGAGGUUCCCAGUCCAGAUAUCUGGCUUUGUUCUAGCCUGACACAAGUUCCUUAUAUAAAUAGAGUUUCUUUUUUUUUUUUUUUUUUAAUAUUUUAUUUAUUUAUUUGAUACAGAGAGAGAGAUCACAAGUAGGCAGAGAACCAGGCAGAGAGAGAGAGGGGAAGCAGGCUCCCUGCUGAGCAGAGAGCCCGAUGCGGGGCUCAAUCCCAGAAUCCUGAGAUCAUGACCUGAGCCGAAGGCAGAGGCUUAACCCACUGAGCCACCCAGGUGCCCCAUAAAUGGAGUUUCUAGGGGCCCCAGCAGGUUCUGUGGGCUCAACUGUAGUCAGGGUCCCCAGACUGAAGUCUUAAAGAUACUAUACUGCCUUCUCAUCUAGCCAGUCCUGCAACCCCCAGUUUUUCUUGCUUGUAGACUGGGUAGAGGUUGAAAAAGGGAAAAGGCAGGCUGCAUCUAGUCAGGUUAAGGUUCUCUUCUUAGAUUACAAGGGUAUACGGAGAGAAGUGCACAAAAGGGCUUGGCACCGAGGGUCCUGAGGACUCUGGAGGAACUGGAUUCCUUCCCCGGCCUACAAGGUGGCAUUCCAUCCAUGCAUUAGGUGUGCUAGAGUGGGUGGAUUUUGUUAACUGUUCAGCCUCCCCAUCCCCCACAAAAAGAGCCAUUAAAUUAUUUUUGGUUAUAUUUUAAUGAUCUGUUACAGAAAUGUAGUUGAGAAACCAGAAGAGGGAGCAGUUAGGGAAGGACUUACAGGUUCUAUCCAGGUUGGCAUUCCUGAUGCAAUGGUUUCCAAGCUUCUGUAGUGGCUGGGGCCAAUGUCUGACUUGACCACAGGAAAAGCAGUUUUUUUUUCAAAGGGAUUGAAGGUGGGGUUUGUGUAGGGUUUUGUAGUCACACUAUCGAGAAAUGAAAGGCCCCUAUUCCUUUUAACCUAGAAAUAGGUUUGCUGUUUAAUGAAUGAGCCGUAAUUGUGCAGAAGAUGCCAGAUGCAUGCCCCUCAGGUAAGCCAGCGCGCUCUUCACUUUAACAGUGUAACAUCAGGGUGGUGUGAAGAGGGGCAGGAUGUGGACGCCAUUUUGAAAAUAGCAAAUUACCUGAAGGUGACUCUAAGAAAUUGAAUAUGGAUUGGGAAAUCCUUGGAUUUUGGCAAAUGGCUUUGAGUUUAUGAUGUUUUAGGGAUUAGAAAGCUGUAUGAGAUGAAGUGUUGCUUCAUUGAAAUGCUUUUCCCCCAUUCCUGCCAUAUUUGAAUGUAUCAUUAACCCGAUCCCUGUAAUGACACUUUGCUAUGCUUUAGCUGGAUGCCUCAAUAGUUUCCCUUAUCUGUGCCAGUUGUGGUCCAAGUUGUGCCAGUUGGGUCCAAGACCCCCUAUCUAGUCUUCUGGUAAGAAAAAUUAGAGCUGGGUAAGGAUCCAAAUUUAACCCAAGCCCAGAGGCCCAAAGUAAUCCAACUGGAAAUGUCAUGUACAAGGCAGUGUUUUCAAUAUUAAACUUCCCUAAGGAAGGCACAAACUAGCCUUCUUGGAAAGGAAGAAGGGAUUAAGCCACAGAGUAUUUAUUAGUUCAUCGUUGAUACUGUUCUGAUCUCCCAGAGACUCGUGCCAAAAUUCAGUCCUCAGUGCUGGAACCUGCAGGGUGUGGAACUCCAUAGUUCAUGUGACGGCCUCAAAUGCUAAACUAUGCCAAACUGCAUUAAACAACGGUGGGAAGUUACGGGGAUAAGGACUUGGGUCUAAAAGUUUGAAAACCAAAACAUCUAUAUUUAGGACUGGUUUGCCACAUUUAAAAAGAAGUCUUGAGUGUAGGGAAGCCCAAUUAUACCAUUACAAAGGCUGGAGAGAAGCUGCUGCUAGGUUUGUUUCAGCUGCCUGCUUUGCUGUUUUUCUUGUGUCUCUUAAUGUUUGCUUAGUGAUACUUGAACAUCUUGGUAACUGACAAAGGUCUUCCCUUGGAGGGACUUGAAAAAUACUGGUAACUGACAAAGGUCUUCCUUUGCUGGGACUCUAGCAGUAACUUGUUUAAGCAGCUGAAAGGACUAUUAAAGUUAUUAACGUGUGUUAAUUGGGUCUCAUUUGAGGACCUAUCUUAUUGAUCCUCCUCCUCCAUAAUCUGUUGCUGAAUCCUAGAGUGGGUUCCCACCUACCCCCUUUCAAAAGAGUUUAUUAUUUCUAUGGUUAGCUGUAAUUAUAGCAUACAUCCAGUUUAACCUGGACUGGGGGCUGGGUUUUAAUGAGGAUCUGGAGGUGUUUUUCCUUGUUGAGAGUUAUGCUUGAGCAGUGGUUGCAGAAGCCAAGAUGAUUCAAAUAGCUUUGAGUAACCAUCAAGUUCUGCUUCUGAUUCAGGUGCUGGGGCCCCACAUCCUCCCUACUCCUCUUGGAAACUAAGCCUGCUUUCAUAGAUACCUUCUUCCACCACCUACCUUCCCUUUUUACUAUUUACUAUGACAUACUCUUGGAUAUUGCCAAAGGAAGCCAUUCAGCAGAUGCUGUGUCUCUCCCCACCCCCACCCCUUUUAUUCCUGGAUAAGUGUCUUCCCUCUGACUCUGGUCCUCAGCCCUGAGUCUGUAAAUUGUUCUUACCUGUUGCACUAAUGAAUAUGAUUCUAGGUUUCCAAGGGGGGGGGGGGGGACUUAAAACAAUAGGCAAAUGGGACUUGGAUGAAUUGGUCCUACAGAUACCCUGCCUUAACUGAGGUGAUGAGUCUGCUACUCAUGUGACCCUCCACCUUUGUGGAUUCCUCUUGGUUUGUGACCAGUGUGUCUGUUUCUUGAGGAUGUACAAACUUGUUGGCAAAGGUCAAUACUUUUGUUUGUAUUCUCUGCACAGUUGCACUCUCCAAAUGGCCCCUUGAAUAUUUUUAUUAACUUGUUACACACACUUCUGUCUUUGUCUACAUUUUUCUUUUGAUGUUUUUAUUUGGAAAGUUACCUGCUGUUGGAUUUAAUAAAUUUGUUUACUUGACUAUUGACAAUUCUGAGAGAAAAAUACCCCCACAAAAAACCAAACCAGUGACUUUAUUCUGGGGCGAGAUUUACCCAUCGGGAGCCUCUUCCAACAUGAUACUGGAUAGCAGUUCCUUUGCUUUGGAAAAUAAUCCAGAUGGUACAGGAUCCUCAGACUUUAAACAUGGAUGUUGACUUCCCACUUACCAGCUUAAUGGCCUUUGGGGUCCUGAUACUCGUAGGCAAAAAGCAAAUGAGUCCUCAGAGGGCCACUACCUAAAUAGUCUUAUGGUAGCAACUGAUGUGGAUUCCCAUGAGGAACAAAAAGUGAAUUUGAGCACUGUGCUAAUGGAUGGCUCCUACAUCUAUCAGGCUGGCAGUGAUUAAGGCAAAGGAGACAAGCUGAAACUGUCAAGUGCCACUGCUGUGUGACCUUUGGCAAGUUAGUGAAAUUCCAAGUUUCCUUAUACUCAUCUGUAAAAUCAAGAGAAUUCCAUCAGAGGGUUAGGAUUUAAGUCUUUAAAAAGCACCUAAAUCACGUAAGUUUAAGGUUUCCUAAAGGAUACCAGGUGAGUAAUGCAAGGAAUCCAGAGAGGAAGAGAUGGGGGUUGGCAUGGUAACAGGACCUUUCAGGUCACUGCCCCUCCUGGGGGCUGAAUUUCUCUCUGUGCCAAAUUGGGGGUGGAGUUGGGGGAUGGGGGUUGCUUCGACUAACACGGUCCCCGAUGGCUCUAUUUGGCUCUUACAUCCUAGAAGUCUGAUGAUGGUAGACCAGUUAUGACCCGUAGCUUCCUUUCAUUGUAUUUUCUGUCUUGUUAUUGUUUGUAUUCAGGAAAGCUAUUGGCCAGCCAUCUUACUCACUUCUUUGAUGGAGGCCCUAAUGACCUUCCCAAAGAUUUCCAGCCUCAUGUUGGUACCUCCUAAAAAUAAGGGUGCUGAAAAAGUCCUACUAGAAUAUGGCAGCAAUGCAAUCAAGAGCAAGGCGUCUGACUAGUGUUUUAUAAUCCAUGCUGAUGGAGACUCUCCAUGGCCCUGUGUUUUAUGUGGGGUGGUGCUGCCGAACUUGCUAGUAUAUUAAAAUAAAGAGCUACAAAAUGGUAUGGUACCUAGUGUAAGACAAGACAGAAGAAAACACUCGGGCUCUUAUAUACAUGGACUUACAUAGUAAAGGACAAAUUCUCCUUGACUGGGUAAGUAAAGAUAGAUAAACAGGUAAAAAUAUAAAUACUUGGGGGAGAAGUUGCUGUAUGCCAAAAUGAAUUCGAGUAGGAAUAAAGGUGUAAGUGUAAAAAUUACAUUAUUUAAAAAAAACAUAGGGGUGCCUGGGUGGCUUGCCCAGUUAAGCAUGCCACUUGAUCUUAGCUCAGGUCUCCUUCGCAUAGUUGUGAGUUCAAGCCCCUUGCUGGGCUCCAUGCUGGGCAUACAGCCUACUUAAAAAACAAGCUCCACCCCCCCUACCCUGCAAAACCAUAUAUACUUGCCAGUGGCUAUUAAAUUGAUCUUGGGAUCAGUCAAGACUUUCUAAGUAUAAGAGCAAAUAGAAGAAAUCACAAGACUUCUAAAACUACCUUAAAAUAAAAAACUAGAAAACAUAUUUGCAGUAAUCAACAGAUGGACACUAUACUUAAUCCAGAAGGAAACCUUAAAACAGUUGGCCAAAAAGCUUCUGAAAAAAAUACAUGCCAAUCUAUAGGAUAUUCAAAUAAAUAGAAAUUUUAAAAAACUUUCUAUUACAUAAAUAGAUUUAACUUAGCAAAUUAGCAAAGAUUUGGAACAUGUCCAUGCUAGCUAACACAGUAAAAAACUUCUGUGAAGUUAGAACAACCUUAAGUGUUCAUACGCUUUAGCUCAAUUUCACUUCUAGGAAUUUUUCCUUGACAAAUAUUUAUCAAGGAUAAAUAUUUAUCGAGGAUAUUAUGCAAGGAUAUAAUUGGGGGCAACUUCACUGUCAACAACAGGGGACUAUUUUAGAAAUUAUGGCACACAACAUGUUGGAAUAUUAUGCAGCUAUUAAAAACUGCUUUUGAAUGAUGUAAAAAGAAAGAAGACUGAAAUAGUGGCAGUUGUUGACCCUGAGUGGUAGCAUUAGAAGCAAUUUUACCUUUUCUGGGUUUUUAAAGUUUCCAUUGAUUGGUUUUCUUUAUAAUAGGGAAGAAGUUAUUUACAAAAGGGGGGGAAAAGGAAAUGAAAACAAACAUGGCUGAUUGACCUAAACCAUUCCAUUAUGGGCAAGGAGGUCAGAAAACUGGAGUAAUAUGUUCAAAGCUUCAAUGAGGAGUUGUGCAAAAACCCUUGGGAAUUGCUUUUCUCCCCCAAAUGAGCUGCUUCUCUAGCAGCUGCCUUGGCUGCCUAGAAGGGUGUGGGAGGAAAAUGCACAAACGCACUUAUGAAUGGAAUGUGUAUUUUGCAAGAGGCCAAGUUGGCAGCUUUGGCUUCCAAAAGGUGGGAGCAUCAGCUGAAAGAACAGUGUGUGCAGACUGAGGCCUCAGAGACCUUAUGGUUGGGCCCAUCUCUGUAGAGUUCUGGACUUGGGGGCCCACUGGGAAACCUCCCAUCUAGGAGAAGGAAAUGGCCUUGACUAUUCCUAGGAGUAAAGGUGUUCUUGGCACAUGGAGCCUAAAUUUGUUGUGUGAUCCUGCACUUGGAAGAUGCUCCGCAGUAAAUGUCACUUACUGAACACUUAAUGUGGGUUUUUCCCUAAUUUAAUCAUCGUAACAACCUCAUGGAGUCGGUACUAAUGUCCCCAUUUUAUAAGUGAGGUAACAAGGCUCAGAGAGGGAAAGUCACAUAGCCCACUAUUCUGUAAUUUUUCCACAAGCUGGAUCUUUGAAUUUUCACAGUAAUCCUUAAAAAUAUACUUUUUUUCUCAUUUUAUAAGCUGUGAAAAUAUACUCAGAUGAGAGUAAGUGGCUUACCCAGAAGCAGAGCUGAAGUGCCAGCCCAUAUUCAAAGGCAGAUCUUAUUUUGUCUCCGGACUGGAGUCUCAAGAAGUAAACAGCAGCUAAGCUCUUAGAGCGUUGGAGCUCAGCUGGGGGUAGGAAAAGAAUCCAGCAACAAUGUCAGUUUCAAGAUAAUGUCAGGGCCUUCACUGUAUGUAUACCUGGGCAACUUUCCACUUUACAAGGGAGCUUCAAGUUGCAGUGUCUUGAUCCUAAAUCAAGCUCUUCAGUUCUGGCUCCUGGUUCCCAGCUUUUAUAUAGGGCUGUCUCCUAUAGAAGUUAAAUGAUUAAACACUGCCUCAAAUGCCCAAUCUUGAAAAAUUAAUUUUUAAGUAUUCUAGUUAUAAAAGCAAUAUAUGGUGAUUUAAAACCAAAACAGCCAAAAACAAUUUGGUAACACAAUUUGCCAAAACAAUUUGGUAAUUUUCCAGCCCUACCACAUUUGACAGACAGCCUUCCAGGUUUUGUUCCAAGCCUAUGCAUAUCUUUUUCUACUAUUCUAUAACCCUCUAUAUUUCCUACAACAUAUACUGGGAAUGUAUAAUCACAUCUUCACAACAAUGCUAUGAGGUAUGUACCAUUACUGUUCCAACCACAGAAAUGUUAUGUACAAGUUCACACAAUAUGCAGGAAAGCUAGGAUUCAGCAUCUGUCUGUAUCCAGAGGUCAACUGCCACUUCUUGCAGAUCUCUUUUUACUAGAAAUUUUAUUUAUACGCACAUAAUUUUUUUAAAAUGGCCAACAAGAAUUUGGUUGUGCUCACCCUGUAGUAGCUCCUCUAUGUAUGUUUGUGUGCGACUGUACUAUAGUAUGUUACUACAGAAGUGGAAUUGCUGGAUCCCAAUGUAUGGAGUAAUUUACAAGGGUUUUUGGUAUACGUACUGUAUCUGGAUUAGUUCAUCUUUUCCAGAGGGCAGAUAAAUCUGUUUUGGAGUUGUGUGUACCUGUACCCAUAUCUUUCCCAACACAGAAUGUUAAUAUUUUGAAAGUUGAUAAAAAAGCAGAGCAGUAGCUUUCGCUGAAAUUGAAGCUUUCAGUUCUAAGGGGGAGAUCUGAUAGGGUGGAGGCACCUACUGGUGAAAGGUGACAUUGCAAUCUCACUCAAGGGAAGGAAGCACCCCUACAAACGGAACCGAGAGGGUGCUUCCACUGUUGGUAAAAAGCAGUCUUCCACUCUCCUGUGUCUGUGCAGCUGCCAGAUUUUCAUUUCAGCCUUUCUCCCUUCAAUUUUAUAAGAGCUGUUAAUGAGAAAAGUUUGCCUUACAGAAAUCUGCUUCAUAGAUAACCUGAUAAUGGCUGGUUUUUCUCCACAGCAAAGUCCCUCCUUCUUAGUUUCCUUACCUACAUAUACCAUUUAAUAGGAGUGUUACCAUGGAAUGAGCACCUACUACAGAUGUGUAAGUCCACUGACACAAAGCACAAACUGGUUUCCUUCUCACCCUGUCUUAAGAUGAGAAUGCUCAAAUUUUAGGCAUUUAUUGAAAAUUUAUACAUGCCAUAUAAAUGGACCGAACUUCUUAAGUGGUACACCAUUUCCACAAAAGCUGUGUGCUGGAUAGAGAGGCUGCAGCCUGACCACAUUCUCUGCCACUGCCCGUGAGGGCUAAUGGCACAUGGAAAAUGAUGGGCAGACUCAUGAACACAUGUUUGGCAUGGUGCUUUCUUCUUCAUCUUUUAUUCCCAUCAGUCCUAGGCCAGAGAAUGAUCCGUGAGUGCUGCAAACAAAUGGGGUGAAGAUAGGUCACUAAUCCACAGGGUUUAAAAGAAUGGUUACAAACUCAUAGGUAAGAGGUGGUAAGUUUUUUUGGGUAUGUGUAUGGGGUGGGGCACAGGCAGGUAAGGCAGUUGAACAAAAGCUGCCAACUGAAAAUGGCUCAAUGGAAAGAACACUGACAAGUCCUAGAGUCCUGGAAUCAAGUCAGCUCUGCCAUUUAACAGAUGGGAGGCAUAUCUCAAUCUAGGGUGAAUGACCUCAAAGUGGGCUUUCAUUUUUUCAACUAAAAAACUAUUAAAUACGUAAGUUACUAUCUCAUGGGGCUUUUGUGAGGACUAUCUAAUAAUAGCUAAAAUAUACAGAUCAUUUCCUUAUGCUUUCUUCAUAUAUCAUACAGAUCAUUCACCAGGUACCAGGCUUUAUUUUAUAAAGUACUUUAUGUGCAUUCUCAUUUAAUCCUUCAAAACAGCUUAUGUACCUAAACUAGGUACUGAUGCAGGUCUAAUUGUUCUGUCCACUUUUUAAAAAGAAUCAAGCUCUUGAUUGUUCAACAAGCUGAGUGACAGAACCAGGUAAUAAAGGCAAUCUACCAUCAAGAGUCCUUCUAAGCCAUGUAUGUUGUAAAACACUUGGUCCAGUGGCUAGAAUGCAGACAUCAUCCAGUACAUGUUCAUCUACCCACUCAUUCCAGAAUUGCCUAUCUUUAUGCUUUAGGAUUUAACAGGAAUUUUUCUUUUAAAGAAAAGAUUUUCCAGUUGAAAGGGUUUGGAACUCACUGCUAUUCCAAAUCUCUUAUUUUACCAAAGGGAAAUUGAGACCCACAGAGGGAAAGUGGCUUGGCCUGUUGUCAGAGAAGGUAUGUGAUAGCGCUGGGACUGGCAGAAGGCAGGACCAUGCUCCUGAAACGUGGGAAGGGUCAUAAUCUGGUCUGGGCCUUGCCCUAGACCUUCUUUGACUGUUUUUAUUCAAGUGGGGGAUUAGGCAGCUGCUUUUUGUCCUGCAGAGGCUAUAGGAUCUAAGGCCUCUGGCUUAAAACUGGGAUGAACUAUCUCCCUGAGGGGCUAAUAAGUAUUAUUAAUUAAUUAAUUAAUUAAUUAAAUGGAAGAGCAUAUGUAUGUGUAAAAGGGAUAAUGGAUAUAUAAUACCCAAGAAUAAAGAGAGGAUUCCUUAAGUCCUCAUUUAUGUGCUGGAAUGUCAACCAAAAGGCCUUUCUCUCAGCUGAAGUCUAGAGGCCAGAAUCCUGAAGGGACAACCCUUUAGUCCUUACCUCUUGGUUCCUGGCAGCAAGAUGAGGCAGAGUGUGCCUGGGCCCAGGCUGUGGUAGAGCUUCCCUAUCUUCCGGCCCCAGCGCCAGGCUGCUAUCUUUGGGUGGUCCAUCUUCAGAGCCUAGGAUCAAAGGCAGAUGUUGACACUCAGCUGGAGUAUCCUCUGCUCACCUUUGGAGGGGCUGCAACUUUCUUCAAGUUCUAGGACCUUGGGGUCCCAGAAAAGGCUCUGUUUAAAUUCUCUAUCUGCAGCUAAAGCCCAUACUUCAGGGUUCCCUGUCCACCCCACCAUCUCCAGGUCUUCGAUCAGUUUAGGAGUACAACUGUUGUUCUUUCCUCCAUUAUGGAUUGGGUCUUCCAGGGCCCUGACACAGAGGAACCACGUCACUAAUGGCCCCUGUCAUUAAGUAUCUUUGUGACCUGGGCAAAUCCCUCAACUAGUUCUGGCGUCUAUUUCUCACCUAUUAAGUGUGGGAGAUGAGACGAGAACAGGGUUUCCCAAACUUCAGCCAUUGACCUUCUACCUUUACCCUUUUACUUGUGUAUCCUAAUAUUUUUCUUUAAAUUUUCUGCCUUCAUCUCACUAAGAUAGAUCUGUGAAGUCAUCAGUUCAAUGUGAUUGUUAUACAAGUGUUAGAACAAGAUCUUGGCAUAAGUAGGGGGAAGGGUCCAUCUAUGACCACUAAAAAUCAUCUUGUGUAUGUACUAUACUUUGGGAAACCCUAGAUUACUAAAGACUUGCCCAGCUCUUUAACCUCCUAUGUUAGCCCCUCAAAGUCCCUUGGAGAGCCAUCUGGAGGAUUAAAAGCCUAACUGUAGCAAGUAUGGAGUGGGCAAAAGCAUGAGCUCUUAGAGAAAGAAAAAUGUGUCCAAAGGCUGGGAAGCUAGAGAGUGAAAUAAAACUAGUGCCAGGGGAGGGAAAAAAAAGAUUCAAAGGCUUAAGUGUCACUUGAACUGGACUCUCCUAGCUUCCAUAAACACGAGAAGGCCAACCAAUGCCAAGAGCUAGCAAACCAAGACCGCUACCUCUGACCCCAGGAUACACUCACUCACUCACCUGUAAGGCCUGCUGCUCAGAGGGGGGAGGUAUGACACGAACCCCUGGGGGCCUUCUUGAUUCAGGAGGCAAGCCCCUGAGCCAAGCAUGGAGAUGCCUGGGGGUUAGGGCAUGUCGGCCUUUCAGCUUCCAGUCCUUGCCUUUGAGAAUGUCGAGGGCCCUCUGGGCACUGCCAAAAGUUUUGAAUUCUGAAAGCAAGAAUAGUCCUGUUAUUAAGGGCCACAAAGCCUGGUUACCAUCCAGGGCAAAGGGAGGGCAGAAUCAGCUGUUAAUGUGAUCUAGCAUCCCAGGUGGGGCUAUUUAGUGAACACUUCCUUUCUCUGACCUCAUGUUAUCACCAUCCCUAAUCUCCUUCCCCAAGGUCAUAUUCCAUAGCAUAGACUUACUCAGGAAACAGUAUCUUUUUUGCUUUCCACUUUUAAGAUCUUUAGGCAGGAUGACCGCUUCCAAGCCAAGGAAGAGGUUGGACUGUUGCAGUAAGUGUUCUUUGAAGGUUUCGCUCACUCCAGACAGGUAUAUUGUACCUCGGUUCUCAGAAUCUUGUUCUAGCUCAUUCACAAGAGUGUUAGAAUCAAGGGUGAGCUCUGUCACAGGCCUCUGCACCUAACCAAGAAAGAUGGCAUUAGUGAUACAAAGUCACCACUUGGGUGCCUUGGUGGCACAGUUCAUUAAGCCUCUAACUCUUGGUUUUGGCUCAGGUCAUGAUUUUAGGGUAGUGAGAUCAGAGCCCUGCACUGGGCUCCACGCUCAAUGUGGAGUCCGCCUGGGACUCUUACCCUCACCCUCUGCUCCUCCCUGCCUGCUCUCUCAACUAAUAAAUCUUAAGAAAAGUCA